GAUAAUUGUAAACGUUCUCAGCGACGUUGCUUUUUGAUCCUUAGAUAUCGGCUAAAGCGAAGCAGAAUUCGCUAAGUGUUGGAUUGUUCACCCACCAACAGGGAUCUUGAGCUGGGAUGAGACCGUCGUGAGACAGGUU
rnacentral:rRNA from 1 species